GCUUAGUUGAGUUGAGUUGAGUUGCUUUUGUUUAUUAGGCUUGCAAAGACCUUCCGGUUUCUUGUGAAUUCUUUUGCCUUGGUGUUGCAAAGACCUCAGGACAUGAAAAUAUAAUGGCAUAAGUGAUAAUCUUUCUCAUCUGUGUCUUAAUCUGCUGCAAUUUAUUUAGUUUUCAAAAUUUUUAAUGCCAUUGUAUGUAAGAUGCUGAAUGAACCUUAGCUGGAUAUGCAUGUCCCACUCCAAGAAGAUAGAGAGACAGAGAGAGAGCCUUUAUGCAGAUAUUAAAAUGGGAUUCUAACUUCUUUAGACGUCUGCAAUUUUCUUCCGGAUAAUUUUAACUUCCAUGCAGCAGAGCGAAAUUAGGAAUUACUACUGCACUAAUGAAACCAUACUUGUCCUUAUCAGGUACUGCUCUCCAUUUGCUCAU
rnacentral:misc_RNA from 1 species